GACGAAGGAUCCAAGCGUUAUCCGGAUUUAUUGGGUUUAAGGUGCGUAGGCGGAUUUUAAGUCUGUGGUGAAAUCUCCGAGCUUAACUCGGAAACUGCCAUGGAUACUAUAAGUCUUGAAUGUUGUGGAGGUUUGCGGAAUAUGUCUGUAGCGGUGAAAUGCUUAGAUAAUGACAUAGAACACCGAUUGCGAAGGCAGAGG
rnacentral:rRNA from 1 species